UAAAUAGCCCGGCUGGCUUUGGCUAGUCGCUGGCUUCUUAGAGGGACUAUCGACGUUUAGUCGAUGGAAGUUUGAGGCAAUAACAGGUCUGUGAUGCCCUUAGAUGUUCUGGGCCGCACGCGCGCUACACUGACAGAGCCAGCGAGUAACUUUCCUUGGCCGGAAG
rnacentral:rRNA from 1 species